rnacentral:rRNA from 1 species
UCAGCCUACGGGAGGCAGCAGUGGGGAAUAUUGCACAAUGGGGGGAACCCUGAUGCAGCGACGCCGCGUGGGUGAAGAAGUAUUUCGGUAUGUAAAGCCCUAUCAGCAGGGAAGAAGAAUGACGGUACCUGACUAAGAAGCACCGGCUAAAUACGUGCCAGCAGCCGCGGUAAUACGUAGGGGGCAAGCGUUAUCCGGAUUUACUGGGUGUAAAGGGAGCGUAGACGGCUGUGCAAGUCUGGAGUGAAAGGCGGGGGCCCAACCCCCGGACUGCUCUGGAAACUGUAUGGCUGGAGUGCAGGAGG